rnacentral:rRNA from 1 species
GAUGAACGCUGGCGGCGUGCCUAAUACAUGCAAGUCGAGCGAACGGACGAGAAGCUUGCUUCUCUGAUGUUAGCGGCGGACGGGUGAGUAGCACGUGGAUACCCUACCUAUAAGACUGGGAUAACUUCGGGAAACCUGAGCUAAUACCGGAUAAUAUUUUGAACCGCAUGGUUCAAAAGUGAAAGACGGUCUUGCUGUCACUUAUAGAUGGAUCCUCGCUGCAUUAGCUAGUUGGUAAGGUAACGGCUUACCAAGGCAACGAUGCAUAGCCGACCUGAGAGGGUGAUCGGCCACACUGGAACUGAGACACGGUCCAGACUCCUACGGGAGGCAGCAGUAGGGAAUCUUCCGCAAUGGGCGAAAGCCUGACGGAGCAACGCCGCGUGAGUGAUGAAGGUCUUCGGAUCGUAAAACUCUGUUAUUAGGGAAGAACAUAUGUGUAAGUAACUGUGCACAUCUUGACGGUACCUACUCAGAAAGCCACGGCUAACUACGUG